rnacentral:ncRNA from 1 species
AACACGGUGGAUAAAUUUGACUGAUUGCAACCACUUAAAAAAAAGCUAAAGCAGUAUUA